CUCAGGAUCUCCUUCCAGCUUGCUAUGCUACAACUAAGAGCUGAAACAACUGUGCCCAGUAUCUCCGGCCGGUGCCAAAUUCAAGAUCAUAGAACAGAUACAGAUGGACAUCAUAUUAUAUUUUUAUUGUUCUGUCAACAUUAUUGUGCAUCUGCAUUAUACUUGUACCCUAGGCCUAUACUAUAAGUUAUUCUCUGGUUUAUUACAAUGUCAUAUUUAAAAUCUUUUAAUACCUGGAAAAUUUGAAGCCUAAUAAAAGUUUAAAUUACUUUUGUAA